UAGGGAAUCUUCCACAAUGGACGCAAGUCUGAUGGAGCAACGCCGCGUGAGUGAAGAAGGCUUUCGGGUCGUAAAACUCUGUUAUUGAAGAAGAACGUGUGUGACAGUAACUGGUCAUGCAGUGACGGUACUCAAUCAGAAAGUCACGGCUAACUACGUGCCAGCAGCCGCGGUAAUACGUAGGUGGCAAGCGUUGUCCGGAUUUAUUGGGCGUAAAGCGAGUGCAGGCGGUCUUUUAAGUCUGAUGUGAAAGCCUUCGGCUUAACCGAAGAAGGGCAUCGGAAACUGGGA
rnacentral:rRNA from 1 species